UACGGGGGGAGCAAGCGUUGUUCGGAUUUACUGGGCGUAAAGGGCGCGUAGGCGGCCAGCACAAGUCAGUUGUGAAAUCUCCGGGCUUAACUCGGAAAGGUCAACUGAUACUGUGCGGCUAGAGUGCAGAAGGGGCAACUGGAAUUCUCGGUGUAGCGGUGAAAUGCGUAGAUAUCGAGAGGAACACCUGCGGCGAAGGCGGGUUGCUGGGCUGACACUGACGCUGAUGCGCGAAAGCCAGGAGAGCGGACGGG
rnacentral:rRNA from 1 species